GCCUGGUUGGCUCAGUCAGAAAAGCAUGUGACUGUUGAUCUCAAGGUUGUGAGUUUCAGCCCCACAUUAAGUG
rnacentral:tRNA from 1 species